GACGUAGGGGGCCAGCGUUGUUCGGAAUUACUGGGUCUAAAGGGUUCGUAGGCGGUGUGGCAAGUCGGGAGUGAAAUUUCUGGGCUCAACUCAGAGACUGCUUCCGAAACUGCUGUGCUGGAGUGUGGGAGAGGCGCGUGGAAUUGCAGGUGUAGCGGUGAAAUGCGUAGAUAUAGGAAGGAAUACCAGUGGCGAAGGCGGCCUCCUGGACCAACACUGACACUGAGGAGCGAAAGCCAGGGGAGCAAACGGG
rnacentral:rRNA from 1 species